rnacentral:rRNA from 1 species
AGCGAACGCUGGCGGCAGGCUUAACACAUGCAAGUCGAACGCAUCCUUCGGGAUGAGUGGCAGACGGGUGAGUAACACGUGGGAACGUACCCUUUGGUUCGGAAUAACUCAGGGAAACUUGAGCUAAUACCGGAUACGCCCUUUUGGGGAAAGGUUUACUGCCGAAGGAUCGGCCCGCGUCUGAUUAGCUAGUUGGUGGGGUAACGGCCUACCAAGGCGACGAUCAGUAGCUGGUCUGAGAGGAUGAUCAGCCACACUGGGACUGAGACACGGCCCAGACUCCUACGGGAGGCAGCAGUGGGGAAUAUUGGACAAUGGGCGCAAGCCUGAUCCAGCCAUGCCGCGUGAGUGAUGAAGGCCUUAGGGUUGUAAAGCUCUUUUGUCCGGGACGAUAAUGACGGUACCGGAAGAAUAAGCCCCGGCUAACUUCGUGCCAGCAGCCGCGGUAAUACGAAGGGGGCUAGCGUUGCUCGGAAUCACUGGGCGUAAAGGGCGCGUAGGCGGCCAUUUAAGUCGGGGGUGAAAGCCUGUGGCUCAACCACAGAAUUGCCUUCGAUACUGGGUGGCUUGAGUCCGGAAGAGGUUGGUGGAACUGCGAGUGUAGAGGUGAAAUUCGUAGAUAUUCGCAAGAACACCGGUGGCGAAGGCGGCCAACUGGUCCGGAACUGACGCU